GUGGCUCUCAACCAGACAACCAAUGAAGACAUCAAAGGAUCAUGGACAGGGAAGAAUCGUGUCCAGAAUCCCUAUAGCCAUGGCAAUAUGUGAAGAACUGCUGUGAAGUGCUGUGUGGUCCCUUGCCCCCCAGUGUGCUGGAUCGAAGGGGUAUUUUGCCACUGGAGGAAAGUGGAAGUCGACCUCCUAGUACUCAAGAGACUAGUAGCAGUCUCUUGCCACA
rnacentral:lncRNA from 1 species